GUGCUCGCUUCAGCAGCACAUACCCUAAAAUUGGAACGAUACACAGAAGGUUAGCAUGGCCUCUGUGCAAGCAUGACAGGCAAAUUCGUGAAACGUUCCAUAUUUUU